UGCGUAGACGGUUUCGUAAGUCGGGUGUGAAAUCCCCGGGCUCAACCUGGGAAUUGCAUUCGAAACUGCGAGGCUAGGGUACGGAAGAGGGAAGCGGAAUUUCUGGUGUAGCGGUGAAAUGCGUAGAUAUCAGAAGGAACAUCAGUGGCGAAAGCGGCUUCCUGGUCCAGUACCGACGUUCAGGCACGAAAGCGUGGGGAGAAC
rnacentral:rRNA from 1 species